UACAGAGGUCCCAAGCGUUGUUCGGAUUCAUUGGGCGUAAAGGGGGCGUAGGCGGCGCGGUAAGUCGGGUGUGAAAUCUCGGAGCUUAACUCCGAAACUGCAUUCGAUACUGCCGUGCUUGAGGACUGGAGAGGAGACUGGAAUUUACGGUGUAGCGGUGAAAUGCGUAGAUAUCGUAAGGAAGACCAGUGGCGAAGGCGGGUCUCUGGACAGUUCCUGACGCUGAGGCACGAAGGCCAGGGGAGCAAACGGG
rnacentral:rRNA from 1 species